rnacentral:lncRNA from 1 species
UCUAUAAGAUACUGGGUGCUUCCGCACCAAGGCGAGCUACCACAAUGCUAACAUAGUUGGGAAGGUUAGGCAGGUUGUCCAGUAGCUGGAGAUAGAGUAGGGAGGAGGGCAACUCAGGUUUUUUUAUCAGGUUGGCUACUUACUGGGUCAGGCAAUCUUCUUCUGGGUUAUUGGGUACGGACUUGGACAAUGCGUUGGUGCCUGGUCGAGAUGAGGUCUUCGGCCAACUAGGCAAGUU